UACGUAGGGCGCAAGCGUGUCCGGAAUUAUUGGGCGUAAAGAGCUCGUAGGCGGUUUGUCGCGUCUGCUGUGAAAUCCUCAGGCUCAACUUGGGGCGUGCAGUGGGUACGGGCAGACUAGAGUGCGGUAGGGGAGACUGGAAUUCCUGGGUGUAGCGGUGGAAUGCGCAGAUAUCAGGAGGAACACCGAUGGCGAAGGCAGGUCUCUGGGCCGUU
rnacentral:rRNA from 1 species